GAUCCAGCCCUCAACGCCCUCCACACCACGCCCGCCCCCUGGGUCGUGCCCACUCCAGGGGCCGCCCCCGUCGGACCUCCAACCAUGCCUCCUGCAGUAGCAAAUCUGAUCGCCAAGUACAAGGCCGUAGUCGCAGCCUUCAUCCCUUCCACUGCAGCGCCUGCCUGAGCUGAUGCCUUCUCCGUGUGACUGUCACGGGGCAGUUUACAAAAGUCACCUAAUUUUGUUAACGGCCGUUUUUGUCUAGAGUUUGAUUCGCCGCCAAAGGGGAAAAAAAUACUUUUCUUCCUAGUCUCUCAUGUUAUGCAGCAUAAUCAUUACGGCUGAAUAAAGAAAAUCAUCCGAAAUUCAACCUUUUCCUUUUCCAUAAAAUGAAAAAUCGCUUUUUUCAUUUAAAUCAUUAGUCGUAUUUGCUGUAAUAAACUCUGAGACUUAAA